UACGUAGGUGGCAAGCGUUGUCCGGAUUUACCGGGCGUAAAGAGCGCGCAGGCGGUCGUGCAAGUCGCGUGUGAAAGCCCCCGGCUCAACUGGGGAGGGUCACUCGAUACUGAUCGACUCGAAGGCAGAAGAGGGAAGCGGAAUUCCCGGUGUAGUGGUGAAAUGCGUAGAUAUCGGGAGGAACACCAGUGGCGAAGGCGGCUUUCUGGUCUGCUCUUGACGCUGAGGCGCGAAAGCUAGGGUAGCAAACGGG
rnacentral:rRNA from 1 species